AGUCGUAACAAGGUUUCCGUAGGUGAACCUGCGGAAGGAUCAUUAAAAAAGUUAACUCAUCGUUAUGAGUCUUAACUCAUAUCAACCUUGUGUGCAUCUUAAAUUGUAUCUGGCAGUUCUUAGCUUCUUUAGUUUUCGGUCGCUUAAAGAGUCGUUAGUUUGAGGGUAAGCUUUGAGAUCUCAAGAUCUUAAGGCGAACCCCUAAACUAAAAACACCUUAAGCUGAGGCUUAAGGAACUUCCUGCCAAAAGUUAAACCUUAGAUUAAUUUGUUAAAGUUAUAAGUUAAGCGUUAAAGUUUAAUAAAUAACAACUUUUGACAACGGAUCUCUUGGCUCUC
rnacentral:misc_RNA from 1 species